rnacentral:rRNA from 1 species
GUGCUUCUGAACCCCGCCCCAUGCCUUUCGCAAGAAAGGAAGGGAUUUUUCAAUUCAUCGGCCUCAGAUUGGUAGGACUACCCGCUGAACUUAAGCAUAUCAAUAAGCGGAGGAAAAGAAACUAACAAGGAUUCCCCUAGUAACGGCGAGUGAAGAGGGAAGAGCCCAAGAUUGAAAGCUGGCGUCUUCGGCGUCCGCAUUGUAAUCUCAAGAAGUGUUUUCCGCUUCGGACCAUGCCUAAGUCCCUUGGAAAAGGGCAUCAUAGAGGGUGAUAAUCCCGUACAUGGCAUGGAGCGCCCGAAGCUUUGUGAUACGCUUUCUAAGAGUCGAGUUGUUUGGGAAUGCAGCUCAAAAUGGGUGGUAAAUGCCAUCUAAGGCUAAAUAUUGGGGAGAGACCGAUAGCGAACAAGUACAGUGAUGGAAAGAUGAAAAGAACUUUGAAAAGAGAGUUAAACAGUACGUGAAAUUGCCAAAAGGGAAGGGUAGGAGGUCAGAGAUGCGGCCUGGGAUUCAGCCUUGCUUUUGCUUGGUGUUUUUCCCAGAUUGCAGGCCAACGUCGGUUUUGGGCACUGGAGAAGGGUAGGAGGAACGUGGCACCUCUCGGGGUGUGUUAUAGCCUCCUACUGGAUACAGCGACCGAGACCGAGGACAGCAGCGUACUCGCAAGAGCGGGCCUU